rnacentral:piRNA from 1 species
UGACAAGAUUUCAGUUCCUUUCCAAAAAA